rnacentral:tRNA from 2 species
GGGGAAUUAGCUCAGCUGGGAGAGCGCUUGAAUGGCAUUCAAGAGGUCAGGGGUUCGAUCCCCCUAUUCUCCACCA